rnacentral:tRNA from 1 species
GCCCCGAUAGCUCAGCGGAUAGAGCAACUGCCUCCUAAGCAGUAGGUCGCGCGUUCGAGUCGCGCUCGGGGCG